rnacentral:rRNA from 1 species
AGGGAAUAGAUACCCGGGUAGUCCACGCCCUAAACACUGUCCGCUAGCUUUGGGGAGUAUCGACCCUCUCCGAGGCGAAAGCUAAACGCGUUAAAGCGGACCGCCUGGGUAGUACGAGCGCAAGCUUAAAACUCAAAGGAAUAGACGGGGGCUCGCACAAGCGGUGGAUCAUGGGGCUUAAUUCGUCACUAAGCGAGGAACCUUACCAAGACUAGAAAUCAUACUGCACGCCUCCUGAAAGGGAGGAAGCCUUCGAGGGUGUAUGACAGGUGAUGCAUGGCCGUCGUCAGUUCGUGGCUUGAGCUGUUCCCUUAAGUGGGGAAACGAACGCAACCCUCGUUGCCUGUUACAAGUGUCAGGCGAGACUGCUCCCUCAUGGGAGAGGAAGGUGAGGAUGACGCCAGGUCAGCAUGUCCCUAGAUGUCUUGGGCUGCACCCGUGAUACAAUGGGUAGUACAACGAGACGCAAUGUCGUAAGACGGAGCAAAUCUUUAUAAAACUAUCCCCAAUUCGGAUUGAGGUCUGCAACUCGACCUC